AGCAGGCGCGCAAAUUACCCAAUCCCGACACGGGGAGGUAGUGACAAUAAAUAACAAUACGGGGCUCAUUUGGGUCUCGUAAUUGGAAUGAGUACAAUUUAAAUCUCUUAACGAGGAACAAUUGGAGGGCAAGUCUGGUGCCAGCAGCCGCGGUAAUUCCAGCUCCAAUAGCGUAUAUUAAAGUUGUUGCAGUUAAAAAGCUCGUAGUUGAACUUCGGGGUCUACCCAUUGGUCAGGCUUAAUUGUCUGCACUGGUGAGAUGGAUCUCUACCUUCUGAGGAACUUUCAUGCCAUUUAUUUGGUGUGGUUGGAAAUCAGGACUGUUACUUUGAAAAAAUUAGAGUGUUUAAAGCAGACUAUCGUCUGAAUACAUUAGCAUGGAAUAAUGAAAUAGGACGGACUGAUUCUAUUUCGUUGGUUUCUAGGAUCACCGUAAUGAUUAAUAGGGAUAGUUGGGGGCAUUAGUAUUCAAUUGUCAGAGGUGAAAUUCUUGGAUUUAUUGAAGACUAACUACUGCGAAAGCAUUUGCCAAGGAUGUUUUCAUUAAUCAAGAACGAAAGUUAGGGGAUCGAAGACGAUCAGAUACCGUCGUAGUCUUAACCAUAAACUAUGCCGACUAGGGAUCGGACGAAGUUAAUUUUAUAAUGACGCGUUCGGCACCUUACGGGAAACCAAAGUGUUUGGGUUCA
rnacentral:rRNA from 1 species